rnacentral:lncRNA from 1 species
CCUCGAUUCCUGCUCAUAAAACACCAAAAACAAAGAAAAUGUGUGAAAACAAAAAAAAAAUCAAGUAAAAAUAAAAGUAAAGAAACGAUGUCACCCUUUUUCAGUUGAUCUCAUGGUUACUUUUUCCGUCUCCCCAACAACGGCACCAAAAUUUGAUUACGUCCAAAGAAUAACGCCAUAGUGGUAGUACAGUUUUGGGGUGUCGGUUCCACAGAAAGAUGGAAAAAUUACUCAAAGAAUCCAAAAAGGUUGAUUGUACUCUUGAAAUGAGUAUUUAUAUUUGUAUUGUUGCAACUUAUUGUGUUGAAGCAGAUCUGGGAAAAUCAAAUUAUUAAAAUUGCGGAGAAUAUUUGUAAUCCAAAGCAGGAGGUAAAUACGACACAUGUUUCUAGGCUUUGUUCUUUAAUUCUUGUGAAAGCUAAUGAUGCAAUGAUAGGUUGCAUCACAUAAUCCCUCCAAGGAAGAGUGAGAAAAUGACUGUUAUCCUGAAAAGUUACUACUUUCAUUAUGAACUAACUUUUGAGGUUUUUUUGGAACUCUUCUAUUCAGUGUGCUGAACAAGACUCUGAAAUACCAUGCGAUUUUAAAUGCAAAAUUUGUUCACAGGUAACCAAUAGCUGAAUGUUCGAUUGCUUCUGUUCAUGGUCUGGUCGGCUACCUAUAAUGUGUUGGAAUUUUGUAUCGUAAUAUCCCCCAACAUAAUGAUCUUUCUGUUACAAGUGCUCGACUUUUGAUUUGUUUUGUUUUUUUGUGCUUAUAUAUAUGGUUUCUUUCAGUUGGAGAACAAACUAAUCAGCAUUUCUACUAUAUUUUUAUUGGAUUCUUCUGAGUUCCUGACUUCUAGAUAUCUAUCUUUUGUCAUUUUCAUUAUUCCUUAUGCCAGUUUCGGACAGUUUUGGCACUGAAUAAAUGAAAUUCUGCAACUAAAUGUCAACUCUGGAAUUUUGCAGGUGUUGCUCCGUUCUGAUGUUACUGAUAUUGUAGGAUACCUUUAUGAAGGAAAGCAGGAUAUUGAUUCUUUCCAAGAGCUUAUCUGUAAGGUGAUUGCUUUGACUGACGUGUGUAUGUUAAUCAAAUCCCUUGAAUUGAAAUUGAAUCGGAAUCGACGAUUAUGUCUGAUUUUAAAAAAAAAAAAAAAAAAUUAAGAAUCAGACCAGAAUUGUAGAUAAAUCGAUUUUUAUAUAAUUUUUUAUUUUUUAUAAUUUAUAGAAUAGCUAAUAAAUAUACAAAAAAAAAAAAACCCUCUAAUUUGAAUAUUAAUUUGUCUAAAACUCUAUAUUUUAACCAUAAGAAAUCAAGAUUGAUUCAUACUUUUUGGCCUUUCGCUUUACAUCGACUUGUUGCAUUUCAGAUGUUAGUAGAUGUUAAUCUUUACAAUUUGAGCUUUCUAUGAAUCACAGAAUUCAAACUACAUUGUGGUGUUAAUUGAUGAAAAUCAAAGUGUUCAUUCUUUGCAAUUAGAAAUUUCUUCAUUUUUUGGCAUUGUUUAUAAUCUUAAGUGAAUUUUUUAUUUUUUAUUUUUUUAUAACGCAUAGCAAUUGAACUUGAUAUAUUCAUAGCUUGUGUUAUAGUGCACCUUUUUUAUUAUUUCGAUUUUGUGUGCAAUUUGAAAUAUAAUUAUUAUUUUUUUAUUUCUUAUUCAAAUGGAGAGAGUUCAAUAUGUGGACUGCAAUUUUUUGAACUAUAUGAUCUAAUUAAUAUUUUUUAAGUAGAAGAAUUUAGGCAUUGUCCAUAAUUAAAAUAUACAUUCUAGCAUGCCUCUCUUAUGGAUCGAAUAAGAUUUAUCGAGAAAAAAUCAAUUCUUCUUAAAUUGUAAUUUAAUUUUUGAUGUUUUCGUUAUUUUCCUCUUUUAGUGAUUUUUAGUCUUCGCUAUUUUGAACCAUUUAGUUGAAUUUAUUAGCUUCUUGACAAUUUCUUAGCUGGAUUCUCUCAUUUACAUGAAAAAUUUCUAGGUCCAUGUAACAUAGAUUAGAUGGCUAACGUUAACCACCCCUCACAAUGGCAAAUAAAUCAAGUGUUAUUCAUUAUACAAAUAUCAAUACGGUCUUAUGGUAUUCUCCAUCCAGCUGAUUCCUGAGUGGACGACAAAGUUGCCUUUAAUUCCAUUCAAAUUUGAAUUUAUUGUUUUAUUUAGCAAUUUGUUUAUAGAAUUUUUUUCCGGGAAGCUUUAACCUUGCAUAAAUUUUUAUCUAAGGAGGAUGAUUCUAAACAAAGUGUCAAGACAGGAGCAGCAGUGGAUGCAGCCCAGAAAUCCAAAAAAAAAAAACAAUGGUGGAAUUUUUCCAUCGUUAAUAUUCUCUCGUUUUUGAAGAACACGAGAUCGACGUCCAAUAAACACAAGCACUAAGGCCAAGAUUCGCGAUAGCAACAGCAGUUCCUACUCUUCUUCAGUUUCGCUCAGUUUCCAUGUGUGUACUUCUUUGCAUCACUUUGGUAUUUCUUGUUUAAAAUGAAAUAAAAUCUUGGGCUCUUCUUGUUGUUUAAAUUAACGUGAUUUGUGCAAUAUACUAUCAAUUAUAAGCAUAAAUCAAAUAAAGUAAAUAUAAGAAUAGAGUUAGAAAAGAUGGCUUAAGAGAGUCACGGUAAUCGCUGUUCUAAAGUCCUGUGGCCUCUCUUUCGUGCGGGUACUUUCGGCACUGUACGGCUCCAAGAUAAAAACUCUUAUAGCUCGCAGUCUAUUUUCCUUCUAUGGGCACGACCACAAGGAGAGAAAGAAUAAGCUCUUACCAAUUGCCAAAAGUUUAUAGAAAAGGAUAAAAUAACAAGAGAGUAGUACGAGAAGAAUAAUAUGAAAAGAGAGUAGAAAGUAUUUUUGUGUUUGAUUUUGUUGUAUCAAAGAAUGUGAAAUCCACCCUUUUUAUAGUAGAAGAAAUCAACCAUUUCAUUAUGAAAAUUAAUAAAGUUCAACAUAUGUUAC